rnacentral:rRNA from 1 species
AUUGAACGCUGGCGGCAUGCCUAAUACAUGCAAGUCGAGCGAGCCGCGCACGGGAGUGUCAUGUCUGGGACCCUGCCUGAUGGAGGGGGUUAACUACUGGAACCGGUACCUAAUCCCGCAUACCAUCAGAUGUGCCCAGACUGGAUUAGCUAGUAGGUGGGGUAACGGCUCACCUCGGCGACGAGCCCUAGCUGGUCUGAGAGGAGGACCGGCCACACUGGAACUGAGACACGGUCCAGACUCCGACGGGAGGCAGCAGUGGGGAAUAUUGCGCAAUGGGCGAAAGCCUGACGCAGCAAUGCCGCGGGUAUGAAGAAGGUCUUCGGGUUGUAAAGUACUUUCAGCGGGGAGGCGUUAACCGCAGAAGAAGCAACGGCUAACUACGUGCCAGCAGCCGCGGUAAUAC